CACCUUUGUGUGUUUUUUCAGAUCGUCUUACACUUCAAGCACCAAAUUGACACAGCGGCUUCUGCUGCUGGUGCUAGUGUGGAUGUUUAGCAAGUUCAACUACCAGUCUACGCCGAGUUCAGGAUGCAUAAAAAAAAUCGAAGGCAGCAACUCAAAAAUAGAUGAAUGUUGGAAGGAAGAUGUAUAAGGCUGAGAGGAAAUGGCAUCUUGAGUUCAACAAUUGGUGGUUCUUCAGGUCACUUUAGCGUGCAUUUUCAGUACAACUUCUAGGCGAGGAGGACGACAGUGACGACUCCUUCAGAUUUUUUCUGUGUUGCUACAUCGCCGGUGCAAAUUGUGGAGAAGACGCGGUCCUAGGUGUGUGCCUGGUUGUGUGUGUGCAUGCUAAUUGCCGGCUGUGUGUGUGCAGGGUACAUCAAGUCGGCAGCCAGUGUACUAGGAAGUAGUGAGACGGAGGGAUGAAACAG